UGGGGAAUAUUGCACAAUGGAGGGAACUCUGAUGCAGCGACGCCGCGUGAGUGAUGAAGGAAUUCGUUUCGUAAAACUCUGUCCUAUGGGAAGAAAAGGACUGUACCAUAGGAGAAAGCUCCGGCUAAAUACGUGCCAGCAGCCGCGGUAAUACGUAUGGAGCGAGCGUUGUCCGGAAUUAUUGGGCGUAAAGGGUGCGCAGGCGGCUUUACAAGUUGGAUGUGAAAUAUUGUGGCUCAACCACAAACGUGCAUCCAAAACUGCAAAGCUUGAGUUAAGGAGAGGUAAGUGGAAUUCCUGGUGUAGCGGUGGAAUGCGUAGAUAUCAGGAGGAAUACCGGUGGCGAAGGCGACUUACUGGACUUAAACUGACGCUCAGGCACGAAAGCGUGGGGAGCGAACAGG
rnacentral:rRNA from 1 species